GGGUUUCAUUUAUGAAAUACACUUGUAACAGUGUUAGCAAAUAGAAGUCUGGAUGCAAAAAUUGAUUGCCCUAUCUGUUAUGGUUUCUGAGUACUAGGCGCUCAUAAGGACGGACAGACGGACGGGCAGACAGACAUCGCUCAAUCGACUCGGCUAUUGAUGCUGAUCAAGAAUAUUUAUACUUUAUGGGAUCGGAAACGUUUCUUUCUGUGCGUUACAAACAUCCGUUGCACAGCACCCCCCAAUACCGACGCCUUGGAGAGGCAGCUAAGCAACAUUGCGGCUGCCCGACAUUCUGGCAAAGUAGAGGGGGAGGCUGGGCCAUCGACCAGCGCAGAAGCCAAACGAUUCACGUACGCCGAAAAGAAGAGUUAAGGGCACAUACUCCGUCGGCAAUACGCGAGCACAGAAGCUAGCCCAUCAGAGGACUGGCUGAAGAAGGUGAAGUGGGCCUCGGAAGUGCUUCCAGACUUCAGUCUGGAACCUCACAGACCGCCCCAGCAACCCAAAAGGCAACGCUCGCAAGAGACGCCUGGACCAGCUGCAAAGCGAUCCAGGAUACUGUCGAACGUGUCCAUUGCGCAAAUUGCCAAG
rnacentral:lncRNA from 1 species